GCCAGUGUGGUGUAGUGGUUUGAGCACUGGACUAUGACUCUGGAGACCAGGGUUUGAAUCCCCACUUGGCCA
rnacentral:tRNA from 1 species